rnacentral:rRNA from 1 species
AAGAACCUUACCAAAUCUUGACAUCCUUUGACCGCUCUAGAGAUAGAGUUUUCCUCUUCGGAGGACAAAGUGACAGGUGGUGCAUGGUUGUCGUCAGCUCGUGUCGUGAGAUGUUGGGUUAAGUCCCGCAACGAGCGCAACCCUUGAGCUUAGUUGCCAUCAUUCAGUUGGGCACUCUAAGUUGACUGCCGGUGACAAACCGGAGGAAGGUGGGGAUGACGUCAAAUCAUCAUGCCCCUUAUGAUUUGGGCUACACACGUGCUACAAUGGACAAUACAAAGGGCAGCGAAACCGCGAGGUCAAGCAAAUCCCAUAAAGUUGUUCUCAGUUCGGAUUGUAGUCUGCAACUCGACUACAUGAAGCUGGAAUCGCUAGUAAUCGUAGAUCAGCAUGCUACGGUGAAUACGUUCCCGGGUCUUGUACACACCGCCCGUCACACCACGAGAGUUUGUAACACCCGAAGCCGGUGGAGUAACCAUUUUGGAGCUAGCCGUCGAAGGUGGGACAAAUGAUUGGGGUGAAGUCGUAACAAGGUAGCCGUAUCGGAAGGUGCGGCUGGAUCACCUCCUUUCUAAGGA